UCUAAUAUGGCAGAAUUGAAUGCAAUGAAUUUAAGAUUCAUAUAUAAAGAAUAUUCUUUUAUUAGAA
rnacentral:tRNA from 1 species